rnacentral:rRNA from 1 species
GAUGAACGCUGACAGAAUGCUUAACACAUGCAAGUCAACUUGAACUUCGGUUUGGGUGGCGGACGGGUGAGUAACGCGUAAAGAACUUGCCUCACAGCUAGGGACAACAUUUGGAAACGAAUGCUAAUACCUGAUAUUAUGAUUAUAUGGCAUCGUAUAAUUAUGAAAGCUAUAUGCGCUGUGAGAGAGCUUUGCGUCCCAUUAGCUAGUUGGAGAGGUAGCAGCUCACCAAGGCGAUGAUGGGUAGCCGGCCUGAGAGGGUGAUCGGCCACAAGGGGACUGAGACACGGCCCUUACUCCUACGGGAGGCAGCAGUGGGGAAUAUUGGACAAUGGACCGAGAGUCUGAUCCAGCAAUUCUGUGUGCACGAUGAAGUUUUUCGGAAUGUAAAGUGCUUUCAGUUGGGAAGAAAAAAAUGACGGUACCAACAGAAGAAGUGACGGCUAAAUACGUG